rnacentral:rRNA from 1 species
UACGUAGGGUGCAAGCGUUGUCCGGAAUUAUUGGGCGUAAAGAGCUCGUAGGCGGCUUGUCGCGUCGGCUGUGAAAACCCAGGGCUCAACCCUGGGCCUGCAUUCGAUACGGGCAGACUAGAGUUCGGUAGGGGAGACUGGAAUUCCUGGUGUAGCGGUGAAAUGCGCAGAUAUCAGGAGGAACACCGGUGGCGAAGGCGGGUCUCUGGGCCGAAACUGACGCUGAUGCGCGAAAGCCAGGGGAGCGAACGGG